rnacentral:lncRNA from 1 species
AUCGUUACCCGAGCCCAGCGCCGGGCCAAUGUCCUAUCUCAGGGUUUCCCACGUCGCUCGCUCCUUGACGGCUGACCGACACUGGGUCUGAGGUGUAAGCGCUUUCCAGGCCCUUCCCUGGGGCUUGGAGGGGAAUGGCGCAAAGGACUUUUCUUACAAGCAGAGAGGUUGGACUCCUGAAAGCCUGGACAGUGUCAUCAUCUUCACCUGAAGAGUGGAAAAAUUCAAGCAAAGAGUUUCUCAGGAAAUGACCAAGUAAAACAUCUGGAGUAAGUCAGCAGGAUUCACAGUGACUCCCCCCAACCAGCUGGUGGUGUUUCUCUCUGAAAGCAGCGCUUGGUACCAGUGUGAACUCUCUUCCUUCAGAAGUCUCAUCAGGUGGACGUAAUACGAGGGUCUGGUCCCCCAUACCUUGAGGACUCCGCUGCCAUCUGACAAUUACAGACAAUCCAAUUGUCCUCAUCCUUGAGGACUCUGCUGCCAUCUGACAAUUAGAGACAGUCCAAAACAUGCCACACUUUGAUCCUAAACACAUUCCUGGCUUUGGUCACUUUUGAAAAGUUCCUGAGUUAUGAGAAAUCAAUAAUAAGAGUGUUCAAAACCUGAACACUCUUUUUAGAAAUACCUGCUGGAACUACAUAUAUGAUUUAUGGGGUACUGUCUUGUAGUAUCUGGGAAAGUAGACCCAUCUAACCUGGAAUGAUCAUAGGCAACAAUGACCAAAAAUGGGGAUCUUUUGAUAUACCUAAAGUAAUUUAUUUGUGCACACCAUUGGAAAGAGCUGGUUUUAGAACCAGACAUGUAAAUAAGAGACUGACUUCCACUGGCACCUAAAAACUUCUAAAAGAAAUCCUGAAAGAAAAAGUCACCUUCAUUCAAGAGACCAUUUGGGCCUUCAUGAGUAACCAGCUGAGAAGCUGAGAUCAGAUAGAAAUGUGAGUUGUACUUUACUUGUGGCUAGUGAAACUUCCCUUUCUUUGAGCUGUCUUUGGGAUGAUUCUUGAUCUUGUGAGGACUGUGUUGCACCUCCUUUGGAGAUGCCCCAUGCAUCCUUGGUUAAGUCAUAACCUUGAUAAAGGCUUAUUGGUUUUGGUGAGUCAUUUGGAAGGGUACCUUUGUUUUUUGUUUGUUUGUUUGUUUUUUAAAGUUCAAAAGCCAGGAAUAACAGCUAUUUGUGCUGGCUAAUACUUGAUAAUGAGAGAUUUGAAAAGUUUUUAUUUUUUUUAAAUUUUACUUUAAAUUCUGCGAUACAUGUGCAGAAUGUACAGGUUUGUUACAUAGAUAUACUUGUGCCAUGGUGGUGUGCUACACUUACCAACUGUCAUCUAGGUUUUAAGCCCCACGUGCAUUAGGUAUUUGUCCUAAUGUUCUCCCUUCCCUUGGCCCCACCCCGACUGGCCCCGGUGUUUAAUGUUCUUCUUGUGUCCAUCUAUUCUCAUUGUUCAUCUCCCACUUAUUAGUGAGAACAUGUGGUGUUUGGUUUUCUGUUCCUGUGUUAAUUUGCUGAGAAUGAUGGCUUCCAGCGUCAUCCAUGUCCCUGGAAAGGACAUGAACUCUUUUUUUAUAGCUGCAUAGUAUUCCAUGGUGUUUAUGUGCCACAUUUUCUUUUUCCAGCUUGUCAUUGAUGGGCAUUUGGGUUGGUUCCAAGUCUUUGCUAUUGUAAAGUGCUGCGGCAAACACACAUGUGCAUGUGUCUUUAUACCAGAAUGAUUUAUAACCCUUUUGGUGUAUAUCCAGUAAUGGGAUUGCUGGGUCAAAUGGUGUUUCUGGUUCUAGAUGCUUGAGGAAUCACCACACUGUCUUCCACAAUGGUUGGAUUAAUUUACACUCUCACCAACAAGUGUAAAAGCAUUCCUGUUUCUCCACAGCAUUGCCAGCAUCUGUUGUUUCCUGACUUUUUAAUAAUUGCCAUUCUAACUGGUAUUAGAUAGUAUCUCACUGUGGUUUUGAGUUGCAUUUCUCUAAUGACCACUGAUGAUGAGCUAUUUUUCAUAUGUUUGUUGGCCACAUCAAUCUCUUCUUCUGGAAGUGUCUGUUCAUAUUCUUUGCCCACUUUUUGUUGGGGUUGUUUGUUUUUUUUCUUGAAAAUUUGUUUAAGUUCCUUGUAGAUUCUGGAUAUUAGACCUUUGACACAUGGGUAGAUUGCAAAAUUUUUCUCUCAUUCUGUAGGUUGCCUUUUCACUCUGGUGAUAGUUUCUUUUGCUGUGCAGAAACUCUUUAGUUUAAUUAGAUCCCAUUUGUCAAUUUUUGCUUUUGUUGCAAUUGCUUUUGGUGUUUUAGUCAUGAAGUCUUUGCCCAUGCCUAUGUCCUGAAUGGUAUUGCCUAGGUUUUCUUCUAGGGUUUUUAUGGCUUGGGGUUUUACAUUUAAGUCUUUAAUCUAUCUUGAGUUAAUUUUUGUAUAAGGUGUAAGGAGGGGGUCCAGUUUCUGUUUUCUGCAUAUGGCUAGCUAGUUUUCCCAGCACCAUUUAUUAAAUAGGGAAUUCUUUCCCCAUUGCUUGUUUUUGUCAGGUUUGUCAAAGAUCAGAUGGUUGUAGAUGUGUGGUGUUAUUUCUGAGGUCUCUGUUCUGUUCCAUUGGUCUAUGUAUCUGUUUUGGUACCAGUAUCAUGCUGUUUUGGUUACUGUAGCCUUGCAGUAUAGUUUGAGGUCAGGUAGCGUGCUGCCUCCAACUUUGUUAUUUUUGCUUAUGAUUGUCUUGGCUAUGCAGGCUCUUUCUUGGUUCCAUAUUAAAUUUAAAGUAGUUUUUUAUAAUUCUGCAAAGAAACUCAAUGGUAGCUUAAUGGGAGUAGCAUUGAAUCUAUAAAUUACUUUGGGCAGUAUGGCCAUUUUCAUGAUAUUGAUUCUUCCUAUCCAUGAGCAUGGAAUUUUUUUCCAUUUGUUUGAGUCCUCUCAUUUCCUUGAGCAGUGGUUUGUAGUUCUCCUUGAAAAGAUCCUUCACGUCCCUUGAAAAC